rnacentral:rRNA from 1 species
GACGAACGCUGGCGGCGUGCCUAAUACAUGCAAGUAGAACGCUGAAGGAGGAGCUUGCUUCUCUGGAUGAGUUGCGAACGGGUGAGUAACGCGUAGGUAACCUGCCUGGUAGCGGGGGAUAACUAUUGGAAACGAUAGCUAAUACCGCAUAAUAGUAGAUGUUGCAUGACAUUUGCUUAAAAGGUGCAAUUGCAUCACUACCAGAUGGACCUGCGUUGUAUUAGCUAGUUGGUGGGGUAACGGCUCACCAAGGCGACGAUACAUAGCCGACCUGAGAGGGGGGUCGGCCACACUGGGACUGAGACACGGCCCAGACUCCUACGGGAGGCAGCAGGAGGGAAUCUUCGGCAAUGGACGGAAGUCUGACCGAGCAACGCCGCGUGAGUGAAGAAGGUUUUCGGAUCGUAAAGCUCUGUUGUAAGAGAAGAACGAGUGUGAGAGUGGAAAGUUCACACUGUGACGGUAUCUUACCAGAAAGGGACGGCUAACUACGUG